UACGGAGGGUGCAAGCGUUAUCCGGAUUCACUGGGUUUAAAGGGUGCGUAGGUGGGCAGGUAAGUCAGUGGUGAAAUCCCCGAGCUUAACUUGGGAACUGCCGUUGAUACUAUCUGUCUUGAAUAUCGUGGAGGUUAGCGGAAUAUGUCAUGUAGCGGUGAAAUGCAUAGAGAUGACAUAGAACACCAAUUGCGAAGGCAGCUGGCUACACGGUAAUUGACACUGAGGCACGAAAGCGUGGGGAGCAAACAGG
rnacentral:rRNA from 2 species